UAGAGUUUGAUCCUGGCUCAGAAUCAACGCUGGCGGCGUGCCUAACACAUGCAAGUCGAGCGAGAAAGGGGCUUCGGCCCUGAGUAAAGCGGCGCACGGGUGAGUAACACGUGGGUAAUCUGCCCUGGAGUGGGGAAUAACACCGGGGAACCGGUGCUAAUACCGCAUACGAUCGCGAUGUCUUCGGAUGUUGCGAUGAAAGGAGCAAUUCGCUCUUGGAGGAGCCCGCGGCUGAUUAGCUAGUUGGUGAGGUAAUGGCUCACCAAGGCAACGAUCAGUAGCCGGUCUGAGAGGACGGUCGGCCACACUGGAACUGAGACACGGUCCAGACUCCUACGGGAGGCAGCAGUGGGGAAUUUUUCGCAAUGGGGGCAACCCUGACGAAGCAACGCCGCGUGGGUGAUGAAGUCUCUUGGGACGUAAAACCCUUUCGACGGGGAAGAAACCGCAAGGUUGACGGUACCCGUAGAAGAAGCCCCGGCUAACUCCGUGCCAGCAGCCGCGGUAAUACUGGGGGGGGCAAGCGUUGUUCGGAAUUACUGGGCGUAA
rnacentral:rRNA from 1 species